AUUCCAGCUCCAAUAGCGUAUAUUAAAGUUGUUGCAGUUAAAAAGCUCGUAGUUGGAUUUCUGAAUGAAAUAUCCGGUCCGCUUGUCUUUGAUGAGUGUGUACUUUAGAUAUUUGGUUCAUUUUUUGUGAGGAAAUUUAUCUGUCAUUAAGUUGAUGGAUUUAUAGACUUGCAUCAUUUACUGUGAAAAAAUUAGAGUGUUUAAAACAGGCGUUUGCCCAUUUGAAUACAUUAGCAUGGAAUAAUAAGAUAUGACUUUGGUGGUCUAUUUUGUUGGUUUGCACACCAGAGUAAUGAUUAAUAGGGACAGUUGGGGGUAUUCAUAUUUCAACGUCAGAGGUGAAAUUCUUAGAUCGUUGAAAGAUGAGCUUAGGCGAAAGCAUUUACCAUGGAUGUUUUCAUUG
rnacentral:rRNA from 1 species